AAGUUCUUCUUUCUUCUUUCCUCUUCUAUUUUCUUCUGUUCUUUCUUUUCUUCUCCUCCUUCUCUGUUCUAGCCUGCUAAUGAAAGUUUGUGAAUCAAAUUCGAGUUUUUGAGAUCGUAACAAGAAGGGAAAUAUCAGGGAUUGAUUUCAGGUGGUGAAGAUGGUUGUGCAAUUGAAUUAGAUUCUAAAGUUAAGUUAAUCAGAGAGAGUCAGGUUAGCGUUUAUGAUCGAUGUCGUGUUGAAAAGGAAAAUGAUAAAUUAUUGGGUUGUUAAUGGAUGAAGAACAAAAGGGUUGAGGUUUAAUUGAAGUUUUGAAGUUGUUUUAGAGAAGAAUCAAAGAAUUAUGUAUUCUCAGGGGUUUGCUUAGAAGUUCAAUUAACGAGGAAUAAGAUGGAUUUAGAGAUGGGUUCGUUCUUAAUUGAUGUUUGAUUGAAGCUGUAGAGUUGUUGAGGAUUGAAUCAGUUAAUUAGGGUUUCUGAGUUUGAUUCGGAGAUAAGCUUAGAAAAUGAAAUUGAUGUUCAAGAAGUGUAAUUAGAGAUGGGUGGAUUUGAAUUAGAGAAGUUCUGAUUUGGGAAAUUGAAUUAGAAAUUAGGGUUCUUAAUGAAGUUCGAAUUGCUGAUAUACAAAGGGUUGUAUUGAUUUGUAAUGAACUGCACAAUGGAAUUGAUGUUAGUGUAUGAGUUGUAAAUAGGAAGAGGUAUCUGAAACUGCUUGUGUUGAUACUGUUGAGAAUACGAAGAAGGACAUCUGAGUUGUAGUUGGGUGUUUGGUGUUGAUUGAAGUUGAACUGGAUUAGCAGAGAAGAUGGAUUAACCUUAAAGUGUUAGACAUGCAUUUUAGGUAAUUGUCAUUCUCUGUGUUUAUGUUGAGUAAUGCAGUUAUGUUGAAACAGGAACAUCUCUGAAAGUAUCUGAGUUUGUAUGAUCUUAGUGAAUGAGAUGUUACAUGGAGUGUGUGUUACUUGAGUUGCGAAUUAGCUGAAUUGUUGUGGUUGAGUUAUGGAAUUCAUGUGGCUUAGUAUAAAACGGACAAGUUGUAUGUGAGUUGCAGCCUAAUGGAGUUUGUGGUUCUGAAAUGGUUGUGGUUGUGUUGCUGAUGACAUUAAGUUAGUGGUUCAGAGGCUGGUAAUUUAGAGUUGAAGUUGUAGGGGAUAUGAGUGAUGUUAAGGUAUUGUAAUGCAGCUGAAGUAAGAUGAAUGGUUUAAAAGUUGUGGGUAUGCAGGUGUUUGUGUUGAGAGUUGGGUUACAUGAAUGAAUGUGUGUAGACGGUGGUGCAAGUUGUGAUUCUGGCGGAACUGCAGAUUCAGUUUGUGCUGGCGGAGUUAAUGUUAAUACGAAUGUCAGGAAGUUAGUGUAUGCUGCAGAUGAUGUUCUAAGGAUGAAGAAGAUUAAUAUGUAUCGGAGAUUACAGCUUGUGGUGGUGCUAAUGGUGACUUGAGGUAGGUGUUGAUGGAAUUUUACUAAGUUGCUGGUGAGUAAUUGUGUUGGUGAGGAUUCAGUUUGAAUGCACAAAAAUUCUAGAGUGAAAUGCUAGAUGAAUGUUAGGGUCACUGCUAUGGUCUCUGAAGUUGAUGAAAAUGGAUAAUUAUAUGUUGAUGUUGUUGGUUUUAAGUAGUGAACUUGUAUGAAAGAUGGUUUUGUUGAGCUGAGCUGUAGAUAAUGAAGUGUACAAGAAUCUGAGAUGAUAAUAAUGAAUUUGGUAAUGUUUUAGUUUUUGGAAUUCCAAUAUGCUGAUAAGAUAUAUGAGCUGAAGUUGAUUGUAAUGCUGCUAUAACAAUGUUCUUAGUGAAAGCCUGCAUCUGCAGAUCAAGUUAGUCUGGAUUAACAACGAUCGAUGCAAGGGAUGAACCAGUGGACCGUGGAUCUCGAGGUAGGCGUGGCUUGUCAUCAAAAGAGUUUCAGAGACAGAUCAGAGUUGCGCAGCAAAAGCUUCAAGGGUCGAGUUCUUUAGUUGUUUAACUUCUGAUAUGUUUAUUAUGUUGCAUAUUAUAUUUGUAAACCAAACGACUAUUGUAUAUGUAUCAUUUGAGAGAAGUUCUUGUAUAUAUAUAUAUAUAUAUUUCUGAA